rnacentral:rRNA from 1 species
UAGGGAAUCUUCGGCAAUGGACGAAAGUCUGACCGAGCAACGCCGCGUGAGUGAAGAAGGUUUUCGGAUCGUAAAACUCUGUUGUUAGAGAAGAACAAGGACGUUAGUAACUGAACGUCCCCUGACGGUAUCUAACCAGAAAGCCACGGCUAACUACGUGCCAGCAGCCGCGGUAAUACGUAGGUGGCAAGCGUUGUCCGGAUUUAUUGGGCGUAAAGCGAGCGCAGGCGGUUUCUUAAGUCUGAUGUGAAAGCCCCCGGCGCAACCGGGGAGGGUCAUUGGAGUCUGGGAGACUUGAGUGCAGAAGGGGAGAGUGGAAUUCCAUGUGUAGCGGUGAAAUGCGUAGAUAUAUGGAGGAACACCAGUGGCGAAGGCGGCUCUCUGGUCUGUAACUGACGCUGAGGCUCGAAAGCGUGGUGAGCAAACAGG